rnacentral:rRNA from 1 species
UACGUAGGGGGCGAGCGUUACCCGGAUUUACUGGGCGUAAAGCGCGUGUAGGCGGCUGGCCAAGCGUGGGGUGAAAUCUUCGGGCUUAACCCGAAAACUGCAUUGCGAACUGGUCUGGCUAGAGUGUGUGAGAGGGUAGUGGAAUUCCCGGUGUAGCGGUGAAAUGCGUAGAUAUCGUGAGGAACACCAGUGGCGAAGGCGGCUACCUGGCACAUAACUGACGCUGAUACGCGAAAGCGUGGGGAGCGAACCGG